ACACAUUCCAGCCAAUCAGCAGCAGACCCUCCUUUCCAGGCCCUCCCACCUCCUGGACAGCAUCCAUUUUACAUUCAUUGUGAAGCUGCAUUCUUAGUGAGCUGUCCAGGAGGUGGGAGGGUCUGGGAGGGAGGGUCUGCUGCUGAUUUGCUGGAAUGU